GUCAGCUUUGCCGGGAGCUGGUCGGCAAGCAUUUGUAGCAAGCCAGCUGGAGAGGGCUGGGGUGCCUGCCUGUCUCAGAAUGGCCUCCACGCAGGGCUCUCCCUGACUCCACUCUCCUUUCCAAGUCACCUCACACCACAGUGAAAGCAGCAGAGGACUCAGUGGCCCAAAUGCAGGGGAGUCCAUUCCUCUGAUUCCUCUACCAAUGACACCCACUUCCUGCAGGCAUCAGGGCUGAGCCAGGCAUGGGCCAUGCCCUGCCCACUCCAGUGAGAUGGGUCAUUCACGCUGGGAAACCCACGUUACAUGGGACAUCAAGCCGGCUAACCUGCAUUCCCCAAGAUUCAUAUGCUGAGUCUUAACCCCCAGCAGCACAGAACGUGACUGUAUUUGCGGUAGCGCCUUUAAGGAGCUAAUGGAGGUGAAAUGGGGUCACUGGGGUGGCUCCUAAUGUAGUGGGACUGAUGUCCUCUUAAGGAGAGGAAAUUUGGACAGUGACACACACAGAGGCACAACCUUGGGAGGUCACAGGGUGGAGAUGGCAUCCACAAGCCAAGGAGAGAAGCCUCAGGAGAAACCAGCCCUGCAGACACCGUGGACUUGGACUUCCAGCUGCCAGAAUGGGUCCUGACUGCCAGGACAAAAGCCAAAAGCCAUGCUGGAAGCUGUGGGAGGUACAAAGAGAAACACAACCAGCUGGAAAGCACUUCCAGGCCAGCGGUGAAAGGAAAAACAAGAUGUCCAUGAGGCCGGAGAGAUGCAGUCCCAAAGCUUCUGGGGAACUCCACGAAUAAAGUCGACCUGGAGCUGGCAGAGACCACCACGUGGAGAAGGCAGAGCUGGAAGGUGGGGCUGGGCCCAUCUUGAGCACACAGUUAGCACCCUAGGAUCUAACUAUGUCUCAGGAUGUCCUAGAAAUUAAAUUAUAAGAGCCAAGAAA
rnacentral:lncRNA from 1 species